UCAAAAAUGUGGUUCAGGUCUCCCACAGUUGAAAUGUUCGGCCAAUUCCCAUAGUGUGAAUCAGUUUCAUAGCAAGGACUCGUUUCUGAACCUACACCCUGAGAUCUCGAUGCUUAGAGGUGAGACGAGCACUACCAUGAUCAACCCAAAACAGGAUUCGUCAAGUGGAAAUGUUACUGAGAGUGUUAGAGACUUAUCUACUUUAAACAAUUAUAGUGAAGCCAAGAUCAAGGUUAUUGGCGGUGGAGGUGGUGGAUCCAAUGCUGUUAACCGUAUGAUAGAGAGUGAAAUGAAGGGGGUUGAGUUCUGGAUAGUUAACACUGACAUCCAAGCCAUGAGGAUGUCACCCAUCUUUCCUGAGCAUCGCUUGCAGAUUGGUGGAGAGCUUACUCGAGGACUCGGUGCUGGUGGGAACCCAGAAGUUGGUAUGAGUGCUGCUAAUGAAAGCAAAGCAGCAAUAGAGGAGGCAGUUGAUGGAGCAGACAUGGUCUUUGUCACUGCUGGAAUGGGUGGGGGAACAGGCACUGGGGGAGCCCCUGUAAUUGCUGGAAUCGCAAAAUCCAUGGGCAUUUUGACUGUUGGUAUAGUCACCACUCCAUUCUCAUUUGAAGGACGAAGAAGAGCUGUUCAAGCUCAGGAAGGAAUCGCAGCUUUAAGAGAAAACGUUGAUACCCUCAUUGUCAUUCCAAAGGAUAAAUUGCUCACUGCAGUUUCUCCAUCCACACCAGUAACAGAUGCAUUCAAUCUUGCUGAUGAUAUUCUUCGACAAGGAGUUCGGGGUAUCUCCGAUAUUAUCACAAUUCCAGGGUUAGUAAAUGUAGAUUUUGCAGAUGUGAGAGCUAUUAUGGCUAGUGCCGGUUCUUCAUUAAUGGGAAUCGGAACUGCUACAGGUUUGGCAUUUUAAAAGUUUGUAUGGGUUGGAGGUGACGUUGCAGUGCCCAUCCAAUUCUUCUGAAGCCUAGAAACAGCCACAAGGAAAAUCUUCCAGAGAGAUCAUAUUUUCACAUGAUUAUCUGUGCUCCAACAAUCACGAUGAAGAUAAGAUAACAGUAGAGUUCAUAAAAGAUCCACUUCCCAUUAGAAAUACUUGAAUUCCAAGCCUGUGCAGAUUUGCACUGGGUUUCUUUUCAUUGUUGUCUUUCUUCACUUUUGGGAGGAGGAAAUUGGGCAGUUGAGAUAUAUGCUUGAGUAGCUGCCAACCCGACAUUUAGCAAAUCUGGUUGGGCAAGCAGAUUCAAACAGACGGUCUUCGUCGUCGUUUCUAGAAGGCGGUGCUGUUGAGAUACCUGAGUUCUUGAGGAAGAAAGGACGGUCUCGCUAUCCAAGAGCUUAAUUACUUGUUCUUCUUAUCAUGCUUCUGUAUAGGAUAGGAUUUUGGUUUUUCUUUCAUUCAGUUUAUUAGCUCCACAUCCUGUCAAAUAAAAUGAGGAUAUUUUAUAUGUAUACAAGCUAUCUCUACUUCUUUUCUUUCAAA